rnacentral:tRNA from 1 species
GACCCCAUGGCUCAGAUGGCAAAGCAUCUGCCUGCAAUGCGGGAGACCCAGGUUUGAACCCUGGGUCG